AUACUUACCUGGACAGGGUCGACGGGCGAUCAAGAAGGCUCGUGGCCUAAGCCAGCUGCCUCUAUUGCACGUGGGAGGAUCGCUGGCUUACCAUCUCCCCCAAGUGGGAGAGUGGAUGUCAUAAUUUGUGGUAGAGGGGGAUUCGCGUUCGCGCGGCCCCUAC